GUGUUUAAUAAACUUUUACUUUGGAUAUUAUAUUUGGACAAAAGAAACUGUAGAUCCAUUUAAGACUUGACAUUGUACUUGAUCAACGGAUUGAAGUCCUGUUUUGCUGGCAGCGUCAAAGGCAGUAAAAAUUUGUUUCUGAUGGAACAUCCAAAUUCCCAGUUCCAGACAAGAAGCUACUGGUGCUUUAUGUGAUAUGUUCAUGACCUUAUAAUGAAUAUCCGUCUGAAAAAUCCAAAUGGUUGAGUCUAGCCUUCCAAUGCCCUGUAGAUCUGUUUAAGAUAAAAUGCUUUUAUGUUUUUGAUGUCUCUAAAACGUUGUGAUUUUAAACUUCUUUAUCAUUAAUAAGUAACUGCAUUUAUGAAGCUUUGGCGGAUUUGGUUAUUAUGUUUUUUAUUUUGUAGGUGGAAAUAAGGCGGUGAAGGGUAAAAAACGGAAGGUUGAAGAUGAAGUUGAUGACAUUGAAGAAGUUUCAAGUGAUUCAGAGGAUGUGGAUGAAAGCGAUGAAGAUUGGACUGCUUGAGCUUAUGAUCUGGAUUACAGGGAUGAUGCCACAAUUUCAAGCAAGUGAAGUGAUGCUAUUUUCCCUCCUAAAAUUGUUGAUGUGAUGACUGAAGAAGGUUGACACUCUCGCGCACACAGUCCAUGCAGGAGAUAUAUCAUUGUGAUAUGGUGAAGAAAGAAUGGAAAUGAUUUACAGAAAAGAAAUAGAGAUGCAUGGAAGAUGAACGAAGGGAGUUUUAUUGUAGAGAAUUAAAUC